rnacentral:rRNA from 1 species
GACAGAGGGUGCAAACGUUGUUCGGAAUUACUGGGCGUAAAGCGCGUGUAGGCUGUUCGGAAAGUCGGAUGUGAAAGCCCGGGGCUCAACCCCGGAGGUGCAUCCGAAACUCUGGGGCUGGAGGUCGGAAGAGGAGGGUGGAAUACCCAGUGUAGAGGUGAAAUUCGUAGAUAUUAGGAAGAACACCGGUGGCGAAGGCGGCCCACUGGAUCGGUACUGACGCUGAGGUGCGAAAGCGUGGGGAGCAAACAGG